rnacentral:rRNA from 1 species
UACAGAGGGUGCGAGCGUUAAUCGGAAUUACUGGGCGUAAAGCGCACGUAGUCGGCUUUGCAAGUCGGGUGUGAAAUCCCCGGGCUCAACCUGGGAACUGCAUCCGAGACUGCAUUGCUAGAGUAUGGGAGAGGGAAGCGGAAUUUCUGGUGUAGCAGUGAAAUGCGUAGAUAUCAGAAGGAACAUCAGUGGCGAAGGCGGCUUCCUGGACCCAAUAC